AGUGAACGCUGGCGGUAGGCCUAACACAUGCAAGUCGAACGGCAGCACAGUAAGAGCUUUCUCUUACGGGUGGCGAGUGGCGGACGGGUGAGGAAUACAUCGGAAUCUACUUUUUCUUGGGGGAUAACGUAGGGAAACUUACGCUAAUACCGCAUACUACCUACGGGUUAAAUCAGGGGAGCUUCGGACCUUGCGCGACUGAAUGAGCCGAGGUCGGAUUACCUAGGUGGCGGGGUAAAGUCCCCCCAAGGCAACGAUCCGUAGCUGGCCUGAGAGGAGGGUCGGCCACCCUGAAACUGGGACACGGUCCAGAUCCGUAGGGAAGGCAGCAUUGGGGAAUAUUGGACAAUGGGCGAAAGCCUGAGCCAGCAAUACGGCGUAGGUGAAGAAGGCUUUCGGGUGGUAAAGCCCUUUUGUUGGGAAAGAAAAGCAGGAGGUUAAUACCCCGCUGUUCUGACGGUACCAAAAGAAUAAGCACCGGCUAACUUCGU
rnacentral:rRNA from 1 species